rnacentral:rRNA from 1 species
GUAUACGGCCAUGCCACCCUGAACAAGCCCAAUCCUGUCUGAUCUCAGAAGCUAAGCAGGGUCAGGCCUGGUUAGUACUUGGAUGGGAGACCACCUAGGAAGACUAGGUGCUGUAGGCA